CGGAAUUCCACAAGUAGCGGUGAAAUGCGUAGAUAUGUGGAAGAACACCGGUGGCGAAGGCGGUUUUCUAUCUUAUUCCUGACGCUGAUGCGCGAAAGCAAGGGGAUCAAACAGGAUUAGAUACCCUGGUAGUCCUUGCUGUAAACGAUGUAUACUUGGUGUAACUGGACUCAACCCUAGUUGUGCCGGAGCUAACGCGUUAAGUAUACCGCCUGAGGAGUACAGUCGCAAGGCUGAAACUCAAAAGAAUUGACGGGGACCCGCACAAGCAGUGGAGCAUGUGGUUUAAUUCGAUGCAACGCGAAGAACCUUACCCAGGCUUGACGUGCAGUAGACCGAUCCAGAAAUGGGUCUUUCCUUCGGGACUGCUGCACAGGUGCUGCAUGGCUGUCGUCAGCUCGCGCCGUGAGGUGUAGGGUUAAGUCCCGCAACGAGCGCAACCCUUAUCAUUAGUUGCCAACAUUUAAGGUGGGAACUCUAAUGAGACUGCCUGGGUUAACCAGGAGGAAGGUGAGGAUGGCGUCAAGUCCGCAUGGCCCUUAUGUCUGGGGCUACACACGUGCUACAAUGGUCGGUACAGAGGGCAGCAAACCCGUGAGGCGAAGCAAAUCCCCCAAAGCCGAUCCCAGUUCAGAUUGUAGU
rnacentral:rRNA from 1 species